ensembl:lncRNA
GGUGCGCAUGCUCUGUGGAGGCCCGCACAGGCCCUGAGUGAACUCUGAUAGAGCCUUCGCAAGGCGGGCCCCAGAUUCGCAAUGAAGAGCCCCACGCCACAUGAAAUGUGAGCAAGUCCACCCACCUCAUCUACCCUGGCGGCCAGUUCCUCGUUGGACCAGAUCCCUUCUAUCAUAAGCUCCUCCUCAGCACAUGGUUAUUACUGGAAUGCUGGUGGUUUGGGCAACUCUUUUUCUGGUGAGAUGGUGCAGUGGGAAGGGACAUUGACUAUUUGAAGAGCAAACAACCAAGAUAAAAUCUUAAAAGCAGGCAGAGAGAAAAGAUACAGAAGACUCACACUGACUUCUCAAGUGAAACAAUGGAAGCCAAAAGACAAUAAAGUAAUAUCUUCAAAGCCCUGAAAGAGAAUAACUACGAGUGGAAGUCUAUGCAAGCACAGAUAUCCUUCCAAAAUAAAGAGGAAAUAAAUACACUUUUAGAAAAACAACGCUUGAGAAAUCUCAUCACCAGCUGACCUGCACAAAAGGAAAUCCUAAAGGGUGUUCUUCAGGCAGAAGGAAAAUAAACUCAAAUGUAAUCUGGGAGAUGCAGGAAGGAAUGAAGAACAAUAGAAAAGGUACAUCCCACUUCCAGCGGGCUGUCCCUCGGUGCUGGCUUGGCUUCUUGGGAAAAGAGUGAAGAAUCAGAGCCUACACGCUGCUGCUGAGCUCCACAGCCUCCAUCUUGCCUCCUCCUGUUUAGACGAUGCGGGUCCUAGUUCUGGGAAGCCCUUCCACCGGAGGACCGUGUGAGCUGUUGUAUCCACAGUAGCCUGGAAAGGGUGAGGGCAAAGGGCUGGGGGACCGGUCAGAAGGCACCUACCACAAUCCAGGUAGGAGGUGACAGUGCUGCAGCCAGGCUGCACGGCGAAGGAUGGGAGGGGCCCCCGGAGAAACCUGAAUCAGGUACCACAGUAACGGGGAACGUGGAGGAGGGCGUGAUUCACUCCAAGGCCGCCAGGGGAUGUNNNNNNNNNNNNNNNNNNNNNNNNNNNNNNNNNNNCAGGCACUCAAGAGGGUGAGAACAUUCCAACACCGGUGUGCCGGGGCCCCAUUGAGAGGGAGCCAGGCCUGUUUGGGGACCUAUGAAGCAGCAUCACAUCAGAGCAGAAGGGUCAGGGGAGGCCAGAUGGGGAAGGAGCUCGCCGCUCUGCCAAGGGUGUUGUCCUCUGGGCGCCAGGGAGUUCAGGAAGAAUUUUAAGCCUGGGGGCCGGUGGUGCUUAAGACCUAAAACUUGCUAUUAAGAAAAGUCCCGUGGUCACCAUGAACGGCCUGGGGGGAGGUGGCAGGGAAAACCCAGAGGGGAAGCAGAAAAUGAGGGCUGACCCCGGGGCAGUGGGAGAGAGGGAAGGAGGCAUGAGAACCGUUUAGGGAGAAGAGAGGAUCAGGGCCGUGUGGGUUUGGGGAAAGAGGAGCAGGCUGUUUUGAGGAAGAGAAUGAGUCAUGUGGGGGCCGGCUGAAUUGGAGGAUCCACUGGGGGAUCAGACAGCCAAGCCCCAGAGCAGCCGAUGUUGGAGUCUGGAGCUCAGCGGAGGGGACUUGGGUCCAGAAGCCUCAAGGGACAGGUGGCAUUUAAGCUGUGGAAGGCCACCAGCUAAAAGGCAUCUCCAGAUUUUUACCUUUAGUAAGAUCUGAAUAGAGGUAUAUUUCCCUCCUCUUUGCCUCUUUCCCAAGGCCUUUGAGAGAUACAGUGAGAAAAACAUUCUUGAGGGUAAAGAGGAGGGAUCCAGGAGGGGAUCCUCCUAGGGCAGCACGGAGGAAUCCCUGGGCUGGUCCCACUUCACCCCACGGUGUCUGCGGGCAGAGGGGCCUGGAUAGGCAGGGCUCUUGGUAUCCAUUGUCCGUGGGUCUCUGCAUGCAGAUAUGUAAAGUUAUGUGUUUUCAUCUCCCCGUGAUUCCUGUUUUCCUGCAGCCCUUCCCGCUGAGGCGUAUGGCCCAAUGAAGUUGGAGGGGUGAAUUCGAAGCAAGACCUCAAGCAGGGGGUGAAGCGGACAUGAUGUAGAGAAGCUGCUGCUGAUGGCAAUGGGACCAGAAAAGGGGGGCCUAAGGAAGAGAGAACAUGAGAAGCAAAAAGGGCAGCCCCUUAACCUUCAACCUCAGAGGCUCGUGUGGGAGAAACCCAGUCAGGUCUGAGGGGAGAUCUCACAGCAAGGGGGUGGGUGGGACUUGACUCAGAUUGCAGUGGGGAGAAAUUUUAAUGACACCCCCUCCCUAGCAAACCAGCGAUGCAAGAUGGUGCCAGCACAAUAUGGUGCCAAUCAGGAGGUGGUUUGGAAUGGCUGAGGAAGGGAGUCUGGGAAGUGGCUUCAUGCAACGCUGCUCGUUCUAGUGAGAAUGCAGCCAGGUAGUCCUAGGUCCCAGGGGCCGCAGAGCCAAGAUCUGCCUCACCAGCUAUGUGCAGGGACCACGCACUUUGGCUUCACCUCUUCCUGCCCCUACCCCACCAGCAAGCCCCAGGGACCAGAACCAUCUCUGUCCUGCGUGUGUGUGUGUGUUGUGUGUGUGUGUGUGUGUGUGUGUGUGUGUGUGUGUGUAAGAAUGCAGGGGACUCCACUCAGACCUUCAACCCUCUUGUCCCACCACCGUGAGGCCCAUGAACAUCUCUCUGCACCAGGAAAUUAUCUUGGCUGGGAGAAGGCGGAAGGGUGAGAAAACCUUGGAAUACUGAGCAAUUUUACUCAAAAGAGACUGAGUUAAUCAUACAGAAAUGGAGCUAUGUCUAAGGGGCAAUUUAAUGCUUUCUUUUUGUUUGUUUUCUUUUUGCCCGUCAGUAGUAGGAAUUAUCAGAUCACGAUGAGAAGAGUAUAAGAAAAAGUAAGAACAAUACUGAUUUGACCCAUCUGGGUAGGUGUGUGUGUGUGAUCUUUAGCCCUCCCACAAUUAUGUCUGUACACGUUUGCUGGGGCAACUGUAUAUUUUCAAUUCCAAUCGUCAGACCUUUCCUUGAAGCUCACGUGUGUUUUGAUCUGGCCAGGAAUUGAGAAUCAUAAAAUCAUUAAAUCUGUAUUAAUUACCUAUUGCUGCAUAGUAAGUUAAUCCAAAAUUUAGCUGAAAUAAAUAUGUAUUAUCUCACA